CGGCGGACUCGCAUGUCGGCCACUUCGCCACGUAAUCCAACGACUCAGAUCACACACAUCCCCUACACUCGACCACACGUACACAGCCCCUUCCCUCCCAACGGACCCAAACGUGGCUAACGUGCGCCGUUUCGUAGCUUAAACGAUUAAUCUCGAAUCUCUCGAAUCCAAGCUUAUUGCACAUGGUGCGCAGUGCACGCCCGGAGCAAUCUAACCGCCGCACGCCACUCGCCGCGCGUCGCUGACCGUCCGAUAUAACCCGGUCCGGCCCGCAAAGAUGGACAGGUUCAAUCUCCAGAGGCGGGUCAAGAUGAACGAAUCCAAGUACGCCUUCGCCGACGAAGAGCAAUCCCAAAACGACGACGCACAAGGCACCAGGAUGCGGCCGUCGGCGAGCAACGUCACCGAGGAUCAGGAGCC
rnacentral:lncRNA from 1 species